AGUGAGCGGCAAAGCUCAAUUUGAAAUCUGGCACCUUCGGUGUUCGAGUUGUAAUUUGAAGAUGGUAUCCUUGGGUUUGGCUCUUGUCUAUGUUCCUUGGAACAGGACGUCAUAGAGGGUGAGAAUCCCGUCUGAUGAGAUGCCCAUUCCUAUGUAAGGUGCUAUCCAAAAGUC
rnacentral:rRNA from 1 species